rnacentral:lncRNA from 1 species
AAAAAAAAGUUGCCAAUGGAUCUAUACAUUUUUUAUGUUAUUUCUAAUACUUUUUAUAUUUUUUCUGAGGUAAAAACGAGUUUCCUAGGCCGAAAAUUUUUUUUCUGACCGUUGGACCUCUCAUCUGGACUGGCCGUCCAUAAUUCUUGGGUGAAAUCGUGGCCGUUCGUUCGAUGCUCGUUGGAGCUGCUCAACGGUCAACUGGGUGACCGCUGCACGUGACGUGGGCCCAUACUCAGCAGAGAGGCGCGCGAGGGAGCUGGAACUCGUGUUACGCGCGUCGUCGUUUUAAAUGGAGCUGGAGCGCGUGUUUGCUUCCACAUUUGUGCCGAGCGCGUGGUGACACGACCCACCCCGAAUUUCACCCUGAAACCCUGAGUAAGUCGUGCGGGGACCACCUCCAAGGAAAAUUUACUGAAAAGAUUAAGAAAAUCUCCCUUGUAGAUGGACAACCCUAACUCGAAAAUUUCAUAUUACACUCUUAAUUCAACACUUCCGAACCUCACAUAAUAUACAAUAAUCCCAAAGUAUUCAGAGCUACUAAACACAAGCGGAAGCAAGAAAACACGAGUAGGUUGAACAGGUAACCUACUGGCGAAAACUGGCAGAAAUGCGGGUGACUAUGCCUCGUCUCCUACUAGAUCCAACCCGAACUCUGCAGACUGGGCAAUUUAAAACGAAGGGCCCAGGGGAAAACAUUUAAUAACGUUAGAGUGAGUGGACAAAAAUAAAUAAACGAAUAAAAUAUUUAUGUUUCCCCAAAUUAAUUUCUAAGGAAAAAUCGAAUGCAUGCCGCAAGCGAUAAAACUUUUAUCCCAUAAAAUAUCGAGCCUCUCAGACUCUAUAAUAUAUGUAUGUAUUUACACUCGUCCAUACUCCCUAUAUAAAUUCAUGGGUCUAUAUAGGGCUACUACGCUCGCGUCCAACGCUCACGUCACGCCUUAAUGCGGUGCUACACUACGCCAUCAAGGUGGACAGACGGGUGUAUAAAUAUGUGUCCAUACCCCCUAUAUGAAUUAAACACUCAAAUAGGGCUACUACGCUUACGUCCAACGCUCACGUCACACCAUAAUGCGGCUAUAUGUUACGCCAUUAAGGUGUACAGACACAUAUGGCUAGCUAGCAUUUUCUAUACAUACUCUCUCAUAAUUACAUAUUUAUAUUCACCGAAAAUCCCAUUUUCGGUAACUCUCUAAGAGAAAUAAAAGCGUCAAAAUUAAUUGACGUCAAAAACUCCAACAAAAGGAAAUGUUCAAUCAUGAACCAUAGCAUGCAUAUUAUUUCAAAUAAAAGUCCACUCACAAAUUAGGCCUAA